CUUGCUUUCUUUGCUGGCGACCGGCGCACGGGUGAGUAACACGUAUCCAACCUGCCCUUUACUCGGGGAUAGCCUUUCGAAAGAAAGAUUAAUACCCGAUAGUAUAAUGAUUCCGCAUGGUUUCAUUAUUAAAGGAUUCCGGUAAAGGAUGGGGAUGCGUUCCAUUAGGUUGUUGGUGAGGUAACGGCUCACCAAGCCUUCGAUGGAUAGGGGUUCUGAGAGGAAGGUCCCCCACAUUGGAACUGAGACACGGUCCAAACUCCUACGGGAGGCAGCAUG
rnacentral:rRNA from 1 species